UCACCCACAUUCUCACACCAUCCCAGAUUCAGAGAUUGCAACUGACUGCAGUUCCGUCCAAUAGCCUGCAAAGCAAGGUCAGUUGCAGCCUUUACACAUCCACAAAGAUUUAAAAUUUUUAAUUUCUGGCAAAACUCAGUCAGAUAUUCAAGAGCACCAUCACUAAAUGAUGUACACCCACUGAUGUUGAGUUUGGUAAGUUUAGGACAACCAUGAGCUAAUGCAUACAGGGAACGAUCACUAAGCCUAAAGCUUUUGCUGAGGUCCAGGUCCUGCAGAUCAUGGCAGUAACUUGCAAUAGCCUCAACAGCAUUAUCCUCAAGUUGGGGUUUAGCUUGGCGCAGCACCAAAGUUUCCAGUUUUGUGAAUUUAGGAGCCAGAGACAGAAGCAAGUUGUUCAUGUUGUUUUUGCACCAAGAGAGAGAGAGAUGGGUGAGGCCCAAGCAGAGGGCAUCCCUCCACCCACUGCAAACCCCAGAAGCCAUAAUUACGGUCCGAUCAUCAACAAGAGAACCAAUUCGCAGCAAGAGUUCCAUAGGAAUAUCUUUCCACUCAGUGAU
rnacentral:misc_RNA from 1 species